rnacentral:rRNA from 1 species
AGAGUUUGAUCCUGGCUCAGGACUAACGCUGGCGGCGUGCCUAAUACAUGCAAGUCGAACGGUCGUGCGUUUGUAGCAAUAUGGACGUACGAUAGUGGCGAACGGGUGAGUAACACGUGGAAAACCUACCCUCGAGCGGGGGAUAACUCCGGGAAACUGGGGCUAAUACCGCAUGACAUCCCAACCUGGCAUCGGGAGGGGAUCAAAGCCGAAAGGCACUUGAGGAUGGUUCCGCGGCCUAUCAGCUAGUUGGCGGGGUAACGGCCCACCAAGGCGACGACGGGUAGCCGGCCUGAGAGGGCGAUCAGCCACAAGGGGACUGAGACACGGCCCCUACUUCUACGGGAGGCAGCAGUAGGGAAUUUUGCUCAAUGGGGGAAACCCUGAAGCAGCGACGCCGCGUGGGCGACGAAAUCCUUCGGGAUGUAAAGCCCUUUUAACCGGGACGAAAUACAUGACGGUACCGGUGGAAUAAGCCUCGGCUAACUCCGUGCCAGCAGCCGCGGUAAGACGGGGGAGGCAAGCGUUGUCCGGAAUCACUGGGUGUAAAGGGCGUGUAGGCGGGCCGGCUAGUCGGUUGUUAAAUCUCUCCGCUCAACGGAGAAGCUGCGGCCGAUACUUCCGGUCUUGAGUGCGGCAGGGGAGGAUGGAAUUCCUGGUGUAGCGGUGAAAUGCGUAGAUAUCAGGAGGAACACCGGUGGCGAAGGCGGUCCUCUGGGCCUGCACUGACGCUGAGUGCGCGAAAGCUGGGGUAGCAAACAGAAUUAGAUACUCUGGUAGUCCCAGCCCUAAACGAUGGGUACUAGGUGUUCCCCCCUUUAAGGGGUGAGUGCCGCCGCUAACGC